CCUACGGGAGGCAGCAGUGAGGAAUAUUGCUCAAUGGGCGCAAGCCUGAUUCAGCCAAGUCGCGUGCAGGAUGUCUGCCCUACGGUUUUUAAACUUCUUCUAUAAAGUAGUAGCGUGAAGCGCGAGUGCCUUUUUGUAUGUACUUUAUGCGUAGGAGUCGGAUAACUCCUUUCCAGCCUCCGCGGUAAUACGGUGGGUCCGAGCGUUGUCCGGAUUUAUUGGGUGUAAAGGGAACGUAGAUGGGUUGUUAAGUCAGUUGUGAAAGUUUGAGGCUCAACCGUAAAAUUGCAAUUGAUACUGGCAGCCUUGAGUACAGUUGAGGUAGGCGGAAUUCGUGGUGUAGCGGUGAAAUGCUUAGAGAUCACGAAGAACUCCGAUUGCGAAGGCAGCCUACUAAACGGCAACUGACAUUGAUGCGCGAAAGUGUGGGUAUCAAACAGGAUUAGAUACCCCUGUAGUC
rnacentral:rRNA from 1 species